UCCCGGGUCGUCUAAAGGUAGGACAACGGACUUUGGAUCCGUUAAUCGUGGUUCGAAUCCAUGCCCGGGAG
rnacentral:tRNA from 1 species